UAAAUAAGGAAAGAGAGGG
rnacentral:tRNA from 1 species